AUUGAACGCUGGCGGCAUGCCUUACACAUGCAAGUCGAACGGCAGCGGGGGAGAAGCUUGCUUUUCCUGCCGGCGAGUGGCGAACGGGUGAGUAAUACAUCGGAACGUGCCCUGUAGUGGGGGAUAACUAGUCGAAAGAUUAGCUAAUACCGCAUACGACCUGAGGGUGAAAGUGGGGGACCGCAAGGCCUCAUGCUAUAGGAGCGGCCGAUGUCUGAUUAGCUAGUGGGUGGGGUAAAGGCCUACCAAGGCGACGAUCAGUAGCUGGUCUGAAGGGCAGUUCAGCCACGCUGGUGCUGAGAAACGGCCCAGACUGCUACGGGAGGCAGCAGUGGGGAAAUUUGGACAGUUGGCGAAAGCCUGGUCCAGCAAUGCCGCGUGUGUGAAGAAGGCCUUCGGGUUGUAAAGCACUUUUGUCCGGAGAGAAAUGGCUCUGGUUAAUACCUGGGGUCGAUGACGGUACCGGAAGAAUAAGGACCGGCUAACUACGUGCCAGCCGCCGCGGUAA
rnacentral:rRNA from 1 species